rfam:Thiomonas delicata strain DSM 16361 genome assembly, scaffold: BBA-D_THIARS_scaffold5
UGCUUUUUUCGCCCAGGCGGAGCUCGACCGCCGUUUGAAGAGUUGAAGCGAUUCAUCGACCAGCACCGCCCCAUGCACGGGGUCGAGCCCAUCUGCAAAGUGCUGCAGAUGGCCCCG